GCUUCAGGUUGGACCGUCUUCCAUAUAUCUACUGACUUCAUAUAAAUGAAAGUGUACUGAGGACUCACUAAUCUGCACUACUAGUAACAAAGUAAUCCGACAAUCAGACUGGACCCGGUCAUGUUAGAUACCAGUGGAAGGAGAUGAACAUACAAUCGAUUCUGCAUCGAUGCAUAACUUCGCUCGGAACGCGGCAAGAAUUAACAAUAGAAGAAAAUACUACAGACGUGUUUAUUAACAAUAAAGUUAUUUUUGUUUUUAUGAAAUAGCGAUUGAAUAAAAAUAUUAGGUAUAUGAGUUUUAUUUAGAGAUGAAAUAAGUCAGAAAUACAGCACA